CUCUCUCUCUCUCUCUCUACCUUCAAAUCUUCAAGACUUGUUCUUCAUUCAAAGCUUUGAAGGUGAUCCAUGGAGGUUGCAAGUUGAAGGGCAUUCAAAGGAGCUUUGUUCUAGUCUUGUUCAUCAUCUUUCUCACCAUCAUCUUCACUAGAAUUUCUACCCUAGCCUUGUGCUAGUAGUUGUCGUGUAGCGGACAGGGUUUGAGAUUCGAUUCAAGACGCACUACUGUGAGUACAUAGACCCCUCUCUUACUGUUUUCUAAUGUUUUGGGGAGCUGUUGCUUAGGAUGUUCGUGAC
rnacentral:lncRNA from 1 species